AUUGAACGCUGGCGGCAGGCCUAACACAUGCAAGUCGAACGACUGGCGGACUUGUGCAUAGUGUCUUGGCAACUGCCUGAUGUACGUGGAUAACUACUGGAAACGGUAGCUAAUACCGCAUACCAUCGGAUGUGCCCAGAUUGGAUGAGCUAGUAGGUGGGGUAAAGGCUCACCUAGGCGAAGAUCCCUAGCUGGUCUGAGAGGAUGACCAGCCACACUGGAACGGGGACACGGUCCAGACUCCUACGGGAGGCAGCAGUGGGGAAUAUUGGACAAUGGGCGCAAGCCUGAUGCAGCCAGGCCGCGUGUAUGAAGAAGGCCUUCGGGUUGUAAAGUACUUUCAGCGGGGAGGCGUUAUCCGAAGAAGAAGCACCGGCUAACUCCGUGCCAGCAGCCGCGGUAAUAC
rnacentral:rRNA from 1 species